GGAAAGGUGACAGAGUUGGUCGAUUGUAUCAGUUUUGAAAACUGACGUAGUGAGAGCUACCAAGGGUUCGAAUCCCUUCCUUUCCG
rnacentral:tRNA from 1 species